GACGAACGCUGGCGGCGUGCCUAAUACAUGCAAGUAGAACGCUGAAGGAGGAGCUUGCUUCUCUGGAUGAGUUGCGAACGGGUGAGUAACGCGUAGGUAACCUGCCUGGUAGCGGGGGAUAACUAUUGGAAACGAUAGCUAAUACCGCAUAAUAGUAGAUGUUGCAUGACAUUUGCUUAAAAGGUGCAAUUGCAUCACUACCAGAUGGACCUGCGUUGUAUUAGCUAGUUGGUGAGGUAACGGCUCACCAAGGCGACGAUACAUAGCCGACCUGAGAGGGUGAUCGGCCACACUGGGACUGAGACACGGCCCAGACUCCUACGGGAGGCAGCAGUAGGGAAUCUUCGGCAAUGGACGGAAGUCUGACCGAGCAACGCCGCGUGAGUGAAGAAGGUUUUCGGACCGUAAAGCUCUGUUGUAAGAGAAGAACGAGUGUGAGAGUGGAAAGUUCACACUGUGACGUAUCUACCAGAAA
rnacentral:rRNA from 1 species